UGUUCAUCUUUAGUUCUCACAACGCCAGGAGAAGUUAUUUGUGCAUACUUUCUCAUUUUUGUAGUCUACAAACCGCAGGUCCCUAGCUGACACACCGUCUCUGGUAUUCUCAGAGAACUAAAAGGACAUGGAUAUGAAGACUCUGAUCAUCCUCCUCCUGCUAGCAGGACUAGUGGGGACAACAUCAGCCACAACGGUGGCGGCAGCUAUCACCACCACCACUCAGGAAGCAGCUAUCACCAGCACCACUCCAGCAGCAGCUAUCACCACCACCACCAC